GGGCUCUUGGCACAGGGGUAGCGCGCACGCUUCGCAUACUUACGUGAUUGCGUGAGGUCGUGGGUUCAAUUCCCACAGUGUCCA
rnacentral:tRNA from 1 species